UCUCAUCUAACUCUUUGAACAUGUGUUUGUAUCCGCACAUAUGAUUGCUUGCGCCGGUAUUCAAGUACCAAAUGUUCUCAUUGGAAGCUUCUUCUCCCUUCUCUGCUAGUAGCCAGAUACCAUCUUCUCCUUCCUCCUUUGCAUAGUUGACCUUCCCAUGCACUUGGAUAUUCUCAUUAUGGUAACAUUCUGAGAAGUAAUGACCAUA
rnacentral:lncRNA from 1 species